rnacentral:rRNA from 1 species
AUACGUAUGUCGCAAGCGUUAUCCGGAAUUAUUGGGCGUAAAGCGAGUCUAGGCGGCUUGUUAAGUCAGAUGUGAAAAUGCGGGGCUCAACUCCGUAUUGCGUUUGAAACUGGCAAGCUAGAGUACUGGAGAGGUGGGCGGAACUACAAGUGUAGAGGUGAAAUUCGUAGAUAUUUGUAGGAAUGCCGAUAGUGAAGACAGCUCACUGGACAGAUACUGACGCUAAAGCUCGAAAGCGUGGGGAGCGAACAGGAUUAGAAACCCUAGUAGUCC